CGCAGGAACACACAUGGGCUUGGUUAAUAUAGACUCGCAUGACGUGAUGGCAUCAAGGUCGUUGGUUGAAAAUCUUCAGUACAUUGUGUUCAAACCCGGCAACAU